GACGAACGCUGGCGGCGUGCUUAACACAUGCAAGUCGAACGAUGAAGAAAAGAAUCGCAGCUUCGGCAGAAAUUCAUUUCGGAUUAGUGGCAGACGGGUGAGUAACGCGUGAGCAACCUACCUCUUACAAAGGGAUAGCCUCGGGAAACCGGGAUUAAUACCAUAUAACAUUGCGACGAAGCAUUUCGAUGCAAUCAAAGCUACGGCGGUAAGAGAUGGGCUCGCGUCCCAUUAACCGGAUGGUGAGGUAACGGCUCACCAUAGUGACGAUGGGUAACCGGCCUGAGAGAGUGAACGGUCACACUGGAACUGAGACACGGUCCAGACUCCUACGGGAGGCAGCAGUGGGGAAUAUUGCACAAUGGAGGGAACUCUGAUGCAGCGACGCCGCGUGAGUGAUGAAGGAAUUCGUUUCGUAAAACUCUGUUCUAUGGGAAGAAAAGGACUGUACCAUAGGAGAAAGCUCCGGCUAAAUACGUG
rnacentral:rRNA from 1 species